GCGGAUACUCUGCCAGGGUUGCACCGUGCAAAGCAGUCCAGGCCCAGCCCCGC
rnacentral:ncRNA from 1 species